GGGUCCCACCUCUUCCCAUUCCGAACAGAGAAGUUAAGCCCGCCUGCGCCGAUGGUACUGCAAUGCAAUGCGGGAGAGUAGGAGGCCGCCCCCU
rnacentral:rRNA from 1 species